GGAUCCAGACUUUGAUUCUGGCUCAGGAUGAACGCUAGCUACAGGCUUAACACAUGCAAGUCGAGGGGAAACGACAUCGAAAGCUUGCUUUUGAUGGGCGUCGACCGGCGCACGGGUGAGUAACGCGUAUCCAACCUGCCCACCACUUGGGGAUAACCUUGCGAAAGUAAGACUAAUACCCAAUGACAUCCAUAGAAGACAUCUGAAAUGGAUUAAAGAUUUAUCGGUGAUGGAUGGGGAUGCGUCUGAUUAGCUUGUUGGCGGGGUAAAGGCCCACCAAGGCGACGAUCAGUAGGGGUUCUGAGAGGAAGGUCCCCCACAUUGGAACUGAGACACGGUCCAAACUCCUACGGGAGGCAGCAGUGAGGAAUAUUGGUCAAUGGGCGAGAGCCUGAACCAGCCAAGUAGCGUGCAGGACGACGGCCCUAUGGGUUGUAAACUGCUUUUAUAAGGGAAUAAAGUGAGUCUCGUGAGACUUUUUGCAUGUACCUUAUGAAUAAGGACCGGCUAAUUCCGUGCCAGCAGCCGCGGUAAUACGGAAGGUCCGGGCGUUAUCCGGAUUUAUUGGGUUUAAAGGGAGCGUAGGCCGGAGAUUAAGCGUGUUGUGAAAUGUAGAGGCUCAACCUCUGCACUGCAGCGCGAACUGGUCUUCUUGAGUACGCACAACGUGGGCGGAAUUCGUGGUGUAGCGGUGAAAUGCUUAGAUAUCACGAAGAACUCCGAUUGCGAAGGCAGCUCACGGGAGCGCAACUGACGCUGAAGCUCGAAAGUGCGGGUAUCGAACAGGAUUAGAUACCCUGGUAGUCCGCACGGUAAACGAUGGAUGCCCGCUGUUGGCCUGAAUAGGUCAGCGGCCAAGCGAAAGCAUUAAGCAUCCCACCUGGGGAGUACGCCGGCAACGGUGCAAC
rnacentral:rRNA from 1 species